rnacentral:rRNA from 1 species
UACGUAGGGGGCUAGCGUUGUCCGGAAUCAUUGGGCGUAAAGAGCGUGUAGGCGGCCAGGUAGGUCGGUUGUGAAAACUGGAGGCUCAACCUUCAGAGGUCGACCGAAACCAUCUGGCUAGAGUCCGGGAGAGGAGAGUGGAAAUUCCUGGUGUAGCGGUGAAAUUCGUAGAUAUUCGGAAGAACACCAGUGGCGAAGGCGGCUCACUGGACUGGUAUUGACGCUGAGGUGCGAAAGCGUGGGGAGCAAACAGG